AAUAAUAUGUGAAGUGAAUAGGGAGCCUACAUCCUGGGAACAAAUUUUUACCCCUCACACAUCAGAUAGAGCUCUAAUCUCUAGGGUAUAUAUAGUCUAUUUUUAAGUUUAGAUUUUCUACCCAUAUAAAAAAGAAUCAAGAUGCAAAAUCACUUAAGAGCAAAUAGCUUGUAGUUUCCUUGGCUUGGAUAAACAGCAAACUGGUAAGCUGGGUCAGGACCUUAGGGGAUCUAAAGUCAGAAAAGCAUUCAUUUCAAUGCCAUAAAAUGUAUAUGUGUGAAUUUAUUGUUUUAUAAAUCAGGGUUCCUAAACAAAAGCUUUAAUGACAGAUAAUUUCUUCUUAGAGUGGCUGUCUUGUGUACUGUUGGAUAUUUAACAGCAUCCCUGGCUUCUACCCAGUAGAUGCUAAUAGCAAUUCCCUUCCCAGAUAUGACAAAUAAAACUGUCUCCAGAAAUUGCCAAUCUUAUCUUACAGGGAAACACUGCCCCUGAUUGAGAACCAUUUGCUUAAGUAAAAGAACCAACAUAAUAGUUAAGUCUACUGAACUUUCUGGAAUCAUAGAAUGGCAGGCCUGGAAGAGACUUCAAUCAAUUCUUCAUGUGAUAGGUGAGGAGGUUGAGGUGUGAAGAGAU
rnacentral:lncRNA from 1 species